UGUUUUAUUAUUCUAAAUACGUAUAAUAUUCCCCAUUUAGAAAGAACAUAUGAUUAGUCAACUGCAAAAUGAUAUUGCAUGGCGUAGAAUAUAAAUUUAUAUAAAUUCGAGGAUUCUCACAGCGAUGAUAGUUGCAAACGGAAACAGCAAAAUAACAUCGGAAAUGAGGUCGAAUAUGAAAGCUGUUUUAGUGCUUCUGAUUUGUUCCUUUAUCAUCCAAGGUAUGUCUAUGUCAUGGCAGAAAAGAAUACGAGUAAUGAAAGUGUGUAGCAAUUUAGAAAUAGCUGGUACUUUUCCAAAAUCAACAUGUUUCGAAAUGGAAAAAUUGCAAAGCUUUAUAUGUGGACAAUGUAACGAUAACGGUUGUAACAACCGGUACAUGUGUUAUCUUUGACUAUUACAUUCAUGGACUUUUGUUUGCUUCACAUUAUUUUAAUGAAAGAACAACGACUUUGAUGAUGUUUGAAAGACAUGUACUCUAUACAUAUUUCUGGAGUAAAUAUAAUUUAAGGGAUCAACUACCUUUACUUCAACAUGACAUUACAUGAUUGUAUUUAUUGAUAACUAAUGCAUUUUUCUGAAUCUGAAUAAAUCGAUUAAAUUCCAUA